AUGNCACUACGCUCGCUGUUCCCGNCCAAUUCGUAUCCAUUGAAGAACAACAACAGACACCAGCGUUAUCUUUGUUUCGAGAUAAGAUUCACCAGGUUCUACCCAAGCCGAUGUCGAGGCACAGCAAUUUACAGGUGACGGUUCCGCGUGCCCUGAAGAGCAGCGAAUAUGUCUUUGUUCGCUGCGACUCUCACCGCCCACCGGUGACAAAACCAUACGAUGGUCCCUAUAAGGUUGUUUAAUGCGCGACGAAGACGUUUAAGCUUCGGGUUAAAGCGAGCGAAAAGCCGAUUGACCGUCUUAAGCCGUCGCAUGUUAACAUGUCCACGGCAGUUCCGGUCGAACUACCGAAGGGCGGGGAAUACCAAGACGCAACGUCAACCCACCACGGCGUUAUCCGGGUGAUUGUUCGAUACUGGGGAGGAGUGUGUGGCGACCCGCCGCGUGUGUGUGCGCCGAACCGUACACGAGUGCCUUUUUCGUAUCGUUUUUCCGCUAUAAAUACCGUGUGUCUCACGUUUGUUGUUUCUUAUCAAUUCACCGCUCAAAAUGGAGUAUCUACCACCUCAGGAUGUUUUAUGACACACCCAAGACUUAGCAUUGCACCAAGCACUGUAACUUAUACCUUGAUAAGCCCUACUGUACACUUUCUCCCAACCAACUAAUUUGUUUGAUUCUAGACAAUUAUAAUUAUACAGACCUCACAUUUCACCUGGUGGGGCAACAAUAGUCGUUAGAAUACAGGUGCUCUGUUUCCAUGCGUAACUGUGAUUGUUGUGGUUUACAAUGUUUAGUAUGGUUGACAAUUAGACAACCCAU